AGAGUGAUGCAUCUACAAGCCAAGAAAUGUCAUGGCUUACGGGAGCCACUGGAACGUAGACGCAGGCAUGGAAGCCUCUGGAAGGGACCAACCCUAACCACACCUUCAUUUUGGACUUCUGACCUCCAGAACGCCUGCAGGCACCCUGUGAGGUUUCUGCCCUCUCACCAGGACCUGCCAGCCACUGCGCUGAGCCUCAUUUAAUGCUCCCAGUCACUGGAGGAGAUCACCUACUCUGGAGGAAUUCAAACGCCAUGUCAAGGUCAGGAGGAUGCUUAAGCAGCCCUGUGAAAAGGUUCAUGUGGUGAUGAGCUGAGGUUACUAGGCAACAACCAGUACUAAUGGCAGGCAUGUGAGUGAGCCACCUUGGAAGUGGAUCUUCCUGUCCCAGUCAAGCCUUCAGAUGACUGUGGCCUUGGCCGACAUGCUGACUGAAAUCUCAUGAGAGACCCAGAGCCAGAACCACCCAAGUGAACUGCUUCCAAAUACCUGACCUACUGAAACAGUGUGAGAUUAUAAAUGUUUAUUGUUUUAAGUUGCUAAGUUUUGGGGUAAUUUGUUAUUCAGUAACUGAUAACUAAUAUAAAUGUCUUGUUCAUGAAAUAUCUUCUCAAAUCUAUUAAA